UUUUAAAUCAAAUUUUUUGCAUGGCACCCAUGUCUCAUAGCUUUUUGAUUCCUGAUAAAUCCUGCUUCCUAUCUGUCUGUCUCCGGCUGGGUACAAAAGAGAGGUCUGAACAAUCCAAAUCAAAUAGAGAUGAUGAAUGUCAAAUGGUUAGUAGAGAUCUGGGUAAGUGGCACUGGUGCUGGCACAUUUGCACUGUUCCAUUCCAUACCUGGCUUUGUCGCACUGCGGCCAUGCAACCACAGCCAGGAAUAUUCUGAUGUGUUAGGGAACGAUGUAGUUGGCACCGUUAAUGCUAGCUGACCGUGGCAUGCUCCAUUACACUGGCAUCCCAUUCGCCAUGGCAUCCCGUUCACCCAGGCAGAUUUAUACAGCUCCUUGCCACGAUUUUCUAAAUUGCUGUUGCUGUCUGGGCUAAGUUGGGCUAACCUAUCCUCUCCUCUCGCCACAGCCUCAGUGCUGCAUGCUGGCCAGGAGGAGACGAGAGGAGGACUGCCCCUGCAUGUGUCUCUGUGGGAAGAGAAUAGACGGGGAGAGAUCUUCUCCACAACAUUUUUAUUCUCACUGAAAAAUGGACUUCCAUGCACAUUUCAUAUCUAGAGGGAACUGCUGAAGCAUGUGAUGCUUAUGAGCGGCUGCAACUGUAAAUGGAAUCUGCUUUAGAAUGGACAGAAUACUAUUGCAAUACAAUUGCCGAGAGGAAGAGAGUGAGAAAUGACCAUGGGUGACUACUUACCCUUAAAGGCACACGAUCAACAAGGCUCCUAAUGGACCUUUCCUGCCAUUAGACCCAAGGUCAGUCUGCCUUUAGAGGCACAAAACCUUCAAUUAGUGUUAGGUUGAAAAGUGGUGUAUUUUUAGAUGGUUGUCAUCCACUCUGGUAGGGUGGGAGGAAUGACCAAACUGCAUCAAUCACACAGGGGAUCUGUAAUGUUAGACAUCCACUGUAUACUAUCACUCCAACCACAAAAAAUAACACAGCAAACAAAGGCUUUCCCCCUUGUUCUUUCACUAUCCAUGAGUAUAUAGUAUAUUAAAUGUAUAACUGAUUUAUCUGCAGAAGGAAUACAGUGAAUGCACAUUUCUUUAUACUUUUUUAAAAUCCAUGAUAUGUUUUGCUAUCAUGAAUAGAUCUAAUUUCAUUAUUAUUUUGUUAGAACAACCAUUCACCAUUUACUGCAGGUGCUGGAUCUCGCAGCAAGUGAAUGUCUUUCAUAACCUAAUUCUGUCAAGCCAUUCUGCUAUUGCUGAAGUUCAAUUUUCUCACCAAGACACUUGUGUGGUGGAACUUAUUUCACACAAUACCAGUUUCCCCUGGUUUCACAUUGCUCCCUGAGCCAUUUCUGUGUUUUUGUAGCCUCCAUCAGUCAGCCCAGGCAACACUCUCUCCAGUGCAGGCCAGGCAACACUCUCUCCAAUGAAGGCCAGAGAACACUCUCUCCAGUGCAGGCCAGGCAACACUCUCUCCAGUGCAGGCCAGGCAACACUCUCUCCAGUGCAGGCCAUGCAUCACUCUCUCCAGUGCAGGCCAGGCAACACUCUCUCCAGUGCAGGCCAGGCAACACUCUCUCCAGUGCAGGCCAGGCAACACUCUCUCCAGUGCAGGCCAGGCAUCACUCUCUCCAGUGCAGGCCAGGCAACACUCUCUCCAGUGCAGGCCAGGCAACACUCUCUCCAGUGAAGGCAAGGGCCUUGACCACCAUUCUCCUGAAGGAAAUGGAUGAAUAUCACAAUCUCUCCAGGACCAGCUGCAUUAGCAAAAGCAUUGUUGACCUCUUGCUGUCAUAGUUGUAGAAUAGUUGACAAUUUUAAACAUAUUUUGAAGUGUUUUUUUAGCCUCCACGUGUGCAUAAAAAAAUAAACCCCAUUGUAAUAAGUAUAUUGAGAGUAUUUUCAGUGAGUUAUUGUUGGAUAUAAUCCCCAUACACAUAUACUGAAUUAAAAUAUAAACGCAGCAUGCAGCAAUUUCAAAGACUUUACUGAGUUACAGUUCAUAUAAGGAAAUCAGCAGUUGUACUUAAGUAAAAAUAA
rnacentral:lncRNA from 1 species